GAACGCUGGCGGCGUGCCUAACACAUGCAAGUCGAGCGGACCAGAAAUGGAGGUAACUUUAUUUCUGGUUAGCGGCGAACGGGUGAGUAACACGUGGGUAACCUGCCCUCAGGAGGAGGAUAACUCGGGGAAACCUGAGCUAAUACUCCAUAAGACCACGAGCUGAAAUGCUUGUGGUAAAAGAAGCAAUUCACCUGAGGAUGGGCCCGCGGCCUAUCAGGUAGUUGGUAGGGUAAUGGCCUACCAAGCCUAUGACGGGUAGCCGAGCUGAGAGGCUGGCCGGCCACACUGGGACUGAGACACGGCCCAGACUCCUACGGGAGGCAGCAGUGGGGAAUAUUGGGCAAUGGGCGAAAGCCUGACCCAGCGACGCCGCGUGGGGGAAGAAGGCCUUCGGGUUGUAAACCCCUUUUGCAGGGGACGACACAGGACGGUACCCUGCGAAUAAGCCACGGCUAACUCUGUGCCAGCAGCCGCGGUAAGACAGAGGUGGCAAGCGUUGCUCGGAUUCACUGGGCUUAAAGGGCGCGUAGGUGGUUUUGUAAGUCUAAGGUGGAAUUCCACAGCUUAACUGUGGGACUGCCUUUGAUACUGCAAGGCUUGAGUCAGGCAG
rnacentral:rRNA from 1 species